rnacentral:rRNA from 1 species
UACGAAGGGGGCUAGCGUUGCUCGGAAUCACUGGGCGUAAAGGGUGCGUAGGCGGGUCUUUAAGUCAGGGGUGAAAUCCUGGAGCUCAACUCCAGAACUGCCUUUGAUACUGAAGAUCUUGAGUUCGGGAGAGGUGAGUGGAACUGCGAGUGUAGAGGUGAAAUUCGUAGAUAUUCGCAAGAACACCAGUGGCGAAGGCGGCUCACUGGUCCGGUACUGACGCUGAGGUGCGAAAGCGUGGGGAGCAACAGGGAUUAAGAA